GACGAACGCUGGCGGCGUGCUUAACACAUGCAAGUCGAACGGAAAGGCCCUGCUUUUGUGGGGUGCUCGAGUGGCGAACGGGUGAGUAACACGUGAGUAACCUGCCCUUGACUUUGGGAUAACUUCAGGAAACUGGGGCUAAUACCGGAUAGGAGCUCCUGCUGCAUGGUGGGGGUUGGAAAGUUUCGGCGGUUGGGGAUGGACUCGCGGCUUAUCAGCUUGUUGGUGGGGUAGUGGCUUACCAAGGCUUUGACGGGUAGCCGGCCUGAGAGGGUGACCGGCGACAAUGGGACUGAGAGACGGCCCAGACUCCUACGGGAGGCAGCAGUGGGGAAUAUUGCACAAUGGGCGGGAGCCUGAUGCAGCAACGCCGCGUGCGGGAUGACGGCCUUCGGGGUGUAAACCGCUUUCGCCUGUGACGAAGCGUGAGUGACGGUAAUGGGUAAAGAAGCACCGGCUAACUACGUG
rnacentral:rRNA from 1 species